UGUAUGGUUAAUAUUUAAGGUCAAAGGUAACGUUUAAAAUCACUUUAACAUCUGAUCCUAAAUUACCUUAUAAAGUUUUAAAUGUACCAGAGGAUACUCCAUUCACUGCAGUUCUUAGAUUUGCUGCAGAAGAGUUUAAUGUUCCACCAGCAACAAGCGCUAUAAUUACUAAUGAUGGAAUCGGUAUCAAUCCAGCUCAAAGUGCAGGGAAUGUAUUUUUGAAACACGGACAAGAAUUGCGUCUCAUACCACGCGACAGAGUUGGAAUGCUAUAAAAAUAAAUCCACAAAAUAUAUUUAUUUAUUUAAUUGCAUGUUAAUUUUUAAUUAGUAUUUUUUUUUGUUUUUUUUGUUUGUUAGUGUCAUUAUAUUAUGUUAAAGAAUUGAAAUCUUAUCAUAGUUUUUCAUAUAUCAUCUCACUUUAUCACUUUAUCAUAUAUCAUCUCAAAAUGUUUUUUAAAAAUUUUCUUAAAAAAAUCAAAAGUAUUUCUUCAUUAUAAAACUAAAACUACGUACAAACUUAAUCUAAUCUAAGAUGCCAAGAAUGCGUGUCUUCCUGUUAUAAUAACAUAGCUGACAACAAAAAUAUCAAAUAAUCCUCUCCUAGAGGCGCAGUAAAAAACUGACUAACCCUGAAAACAAGAAAAUGUGCCCAAAACUUAAAACUGACAAACUGUUUAAUCUGUUUUUUAAUCUAAAUUUUUAUUUUCUUGUAUUUUUUGUCAACACUUCUUUACAAACAAAGCACUUUUAAAUAAAAGUUUUU
rnacentral:misc_RNA from 1 species